UCCAAAUUUAAGAAAUAUGCAAGCUGGAUAUGGGAUGCCUAGCACUUCAUCAAAAACACUUGAUGAAACCAUGGCAACAGAGAUAGAAAGCUUAAGUUUUUCAAGUUUGGAGUCCAUGCAACAUGUUUUGGACCCUUUGAGUGACAUGUUACAGGCUGUGAAUCCUAGUGAUCGGGCGGCUGUAAGAGACGAAGUCAUUAUUGAUCUUGUUGAUCGCUGUCGGAC